UCAGUUGUGAAAGUUUGCGGCUCAACCGUAAAAUUGCAGUUGAUACUGGAUAUCUUGAGUGCAGUUGAGGCAGGCGGAAUUCGUGGUGUAGCGGUGAAAUGCUUAGAUAUCACGAAGAACUCCGAUUGCGAAGGCAGCCUGCUAAGCUGCAACUGACAUUGAGGCUCGAAAGUGUGGGUAUCAAACAGGAUUAGAUACCCUGGUAGUCCACACGGUAAACGAUGAAUACUCGCUGUUUGCGAUAUACUGCAAGCGGCCAAGCGAAAGCGUUAAGUAUUCCACCUGGGGAGUACGCCGGCAACGGUGAAACUCAAAGGAAUUGACGGGGGCCCGCACAAGCGGAGGAACAUGUGGUUUAAUUCGAUGAUACGCGAGGAACCUUACCCGGGCUUGAAUUGCAACUGAAUGAUGUGGAGACAUGUCAGCCGCAAGGCAGUUGUGAAGGUGCUGCAUGGUAA
rnacentral:rRNA from 1 species